rnacentral:rRNA from 1 species
CAGUGCCACGGUAAAACGGAGGGUGCAAGCGUUAAUCGGAAUUACUGGGCGUAAAGCGCACGCAGGCGGUCUGACAAGUCAGAUGUGAAAUCCCCGGGCUUAACCUGGGAACUGCAUUUGAAACUGUCAGGCUGGAGUCUUGUAGAGGGGGGUAGAAUUCCAGGUGUAGCGGUGAAAUGCGUAGAGAUCUGGAGGAAUACCGGUGGCGAAGGCGGCCCCCUGGACAAAGACUGACGCUCAGGUGCGAAAGCGUGGGGAGCAAACAGGAUUAGAUACCCCGGUAGUCCCUGUCUCUUAUACA